AUGUCAUGAUGGGGACACUUCCUAAGCAAGUCAUUCAAUCGCUCCCACACCUCAUAAAACAAUUCCCUAUCCUUUUGUGAGAAUUCUGCAAUUAAAGUUCUUAUUGA